rnacentral:lncRNA from 1 species
AUUAUGGCUGUUAUAAGUCUUGCCGGGGUAACAUCGAAAGCCGGGUUCCAAACUGAAAUCCCAGAAGCAGCAACUUGCUUUCCUCGUCCUCCAUCAGAAUGCAACAACUCCUUUGCUGAUCGUUCCUCUAUAACAAUUUGUUCUCCUGAAGAAAUUGAGAGAUCUAUAGAUGUUAUCGGUGCAGCAACAUAGAAUUGUAUCCCAUGGUGAAAUGCUGAGAGCGCAACAUUGUAGGUUCCAAUUUUGUUGGCAGUAUCACCUGGAAAGCAAUUCAUGCACUAUAUUAACACCUCUUUUUCCUGGGUAAUUAUGCGCUAUAUAUGUAUUCACAUUCAAUUAACAAUUUAGUUUUCCAUUUUGCUCAUAUGUACCAUUUGCAGCAAUACGGUCAGCACCAACGAUGACUGCAUUGACACACCCAGCUUUCAUCAAAGCUGCCACAGCAGAGUCAGCUAUCAAAGUUGCAGGUAUUCGGUCAUGAACAAGUUCAAAGGCUGUGAGCCUGGAACCCUGCAAUUUAAUUGUGUAUUGAAAGCAAACAGAGAAAUCAAAUGGUCAGUUGAUAUAUUAUAAGAAAAUGAACAUAUUAAUCAACAAGAUUGAAGGAUGGACUAAACCUAUAAAAAAUGAAAAUCUCAUUCCAAAAUACUUCUAAGUAAUAAAUAAAAUCAAAUAGAUUAAGUACAAAAAAUAAUAGUACGGAAACAUAACAGGAUGGCCCAAAGUUUUUAAAAAAUUGCAAAAGCAUCACAACAAGAAAAAAUUACUCCUUUGAACUUCAUGACCAUUAAACUUUAACAUCGAAGAAAUGAUUAAAAUUCUAAAAUAUCUUAACACUAUUUUUACUAAGCUUCCUUAAAGGAAUAUUCUUUGAAAUUUCCUUUAUAUCAUUGUUAAAUGUGCUCAAAGGAACUUGAAUGCACAUACAUGGUUUCAGAGUACAGGGAUUUAAAAAAUGAAGAAUUGACAGACUAAUAUACAUGUUCCUAAUGGACUAUUGCUCAAAAAAAAAAUUUACAGAAAGACUCCUAAUCAACGAACAGGAAAUGCAGCUCCACUGCCAGUAAUGACAAGAAAAGAACAACAGUGAACUAAGCUAUUGAUCUUCAUAUGUGGUUGAUGACAAGACGAAAAAAAAAGCAACAAAACUGAGCACCAUAGUUUCAAGCAAACAAAUGAAAAAUAAAACCAAGAAAUUAAAACAAGUUCAACUGUAGUGCUGCAACGUGCCUGGUUAAAUGGUCGUGUUUCGGUGCAGAAAGCUUUUUCUAAGAAUCCUUCACUCCGAAGGGCACGAAUAACACCAAGUGCAGUUCCAUAUCCAGCAGUAGCAAGACUGUCAAAUUGAAAAGAAAGAACAACAAUGCAUGAUAUUCUUGUUAAUCAUAUUAGACAAAAGGGUGGCCCAGUGCACAAAGCUCCUGUUAUGAUCUAAGGAGAGUCAAUGUGCACAACCUUACCCCAGCAAGCAGAGAGACUGUUUCUUUGACUCAAAAUCUUAUCUUUCUAAGACAUUAUACAUGGACAAAAAUCAAGUAUAUUAACCUUCCAGUGUUACAAUGUGUUAAAACAGAAAUCUUUUCCAAGCUGUCUAGGUUGGAUCGAAGAUGUUUGGCUCCAUGAAAUCCAAUUGCCUUGUUAGAAGCAACAUCAUCAAUAAGCAUAGUUUCAGCAGCAUCAAUAUAAGCCUGGAAACAAAGGGGUGUUAGAGCACAAGCAUAUAAAGUGGAGAUAUCACCAUGAAGGUAUAAUUUUUUGGAGAUAGGUAUAAUAUGUAUAAGAUAAAAAAAUAGCAGAAAACAUACAUAUACGGGGGUAAUUUUUGUUAAUAUAGCAAGUAUUAUUUAAACUUCAAUGUUUAAUUUAUACUACAAGUUAUUGACCACCUGGAUGACAAGUAAACGUCACUGAUAACCAUAUUUUAGCAGAGAAGUUAUACAAAUUAUUGCAAAUGCUGACUGAUAAUCUUACUAGCACAACUGACAACUACAAAAAACUGCUUAACUGCUUUUCUAGGUAAGUUAGGCGUGAAGCCCAUAGGAAAAAUGUAAAUGUGUUUACAUGGAUACAAAAGACAAUAUCAUAAGCGUGCUAAUUCUCAAAAGAAGAUAUUGCAUUAAUACCCAAUGAAUAUGUGGCCAGCCCCAUAUUGUUUCAAAAGAAUUCUAAAAAUAGGCACAUAAUAUUUGGCCCCUUUUGGGGGAAGAACAUUGUUGUACAUGGCCACUUUGGCUUGUUAAUAAAUAUUUUCUUGCUUCCACCUAGCAAUACUCAUCCCAGUUUCACCAACAAUUUUCAGGUUAAGGAAGUGUUAAACCGAAAAAUAAAGGUUUUAAAAAUAAUUAAAGACAGAGGAGAACGUACAAAUGCAAUCAGAUGGCAGUCUAAUAAACAAUCAAUGGGAAGCUGGUUCAGAUGGUAAUUUAAUUAUCAUGGAAGCAAAUAAUUCCAAAAGAAAAUUUGCCUUGGAUAAGAGGAUCAAAAUCAAGGACAAGACAGUUGGAAUUUGGAAGUGUCAUCUAAAUAGAACAAUGGGAACCAAAUUGGAAGAAAAGAUGGGAGGAGUAGAUAAAUGGCUGUUUUCGAAAGAACAGAGAAAUUUAUUGAGAUAUAAGAGAAUGAAGUUGUCUACAAAAGAGGGUGACCUGCAGCACCACAGCUGCUCCUUUGCCACCUAGGUGACCAGGGUUCAAGGUUCACAAAAAAAACAUCUUAGUAUAGAAUGCAACUGGCAUGGACCAUGAGGAAAUGGAACAUGCUCUGCAUGCAGAUGGGCAAUCCUUGGUAUAAAGAGAAUCCAAUUUUACAAAUUAGUAUACUGCAGAAAGAGCUGCAGUUUCAAUCUUCAGGUUCAUAAAUCUAGCCAAAUAAUAAUACUGUCAUUGUGGCAGUGAACAUAUGAAUGAGAUUGAGAGACAAGCAUAGCCAAGAAUGUCACUUUGUUCAAGUAUGUCACCAGAAAGCUAGAAGUAUAGUGAAGGACAAAAAAUGAGUUUUACAGAAAUUGCAAGUGCCAUUUAUGUAGCUGAUAUCAACUGAACAGCAAUUCUUUAAUAAAACGAAAAUUGUUUUUUAAUUAAAAUAAUGAUGCUAACAGUUCAAGCCCUAUUUUAUCCUUCGAAAAACAUCUACUUAUUUUUCUAUUGUAAUAAAACAAAUCCAUUAAAUGACCUUAUGUGUAGAUGCUUUCAUGUUUCAAUUUUUAUCAUCGGUUCUGCAAGAAUUCCAUUAGCAAAUUUGGGGAUGAAUAUACUGAUUAAUUUUGUAAUACCAAAGGAGAAAUACAUUUGGAUUUUGGAUGAUCAUAAAAUAUCACUUUGUAAUGAAAGUCAUAAACUUCAUCAAUCACAACCUAGGCCCGUUGAACAUAAAUGUUCUCAUACUAAGGAAUCAUAAUAUGGUACUUCAAAGAUGCAACUAAUAUAACCAACCUGAAAAACAGUUUUUGCCUCAGUGGCUGUCUCUACCGUCUUUAACACAAGGCUCCGAAGCUUUUCAACAGCAUCCGAAAGAUUCACAGCGGUUGGCCGGCUGCCAUAAACAAGUCGUGUCAAAUAAGCACAAUGGACCAUGCAAUGGCAGAAGUUCACCACACUUAAUAACAACUAAUGCAGAAUAAGAAUGCUUAUCAUUGUGCUAUUAGUUUGACAAUGUCUGAAUUAGCGUUAAACCAUCAAAUGGUACCUAGAAACAAGGUAUUCCAAUUUCUUGAUGAGUAAAGAAGAAGCAUCUUCUGAUGUUCCAUUAAAGUCAAGGUUCCAAACUUCUACAGCUAGUGAGAGGGCUGCUGCUAUUGCAAUUGCAGGUGCACCACGGACCACCAUGUCCCUUAUCGCAGUCCUGUAAAGUAAAAAAGAGGUUUGUAAAGGAAGAGACAGAUGACAUCAAACUAAAAGAAAAUAAAGCAUAAGAACUUCAACUCAAGACAAUAUCAUAAUUACAGGUAAAUUCUGAUGAAUAAACCAUCUGUUGAAUUCCUCAUAUUUUUGACA